CUUUUACUUGCUUGGGUCUGAAUCUGAUCAGUCCUCUGUUUUAUUUGGGGUGAAGUUCUGAAUUUUCCACCUUCUUGUUGCUUAAACUUUGAACGAUCUUUCUGUUGAAGUCUUUUGAAUUUGGUUUUUUCUGUUGCAGAUAAGGUAGUACAGAUAGAGUGUCGGAAAAGAUGAAUACCAGGGCCAGGAUGUAUCUGCAGUCUGGGAAAGUUCCAUUGAAGCAUAAAAAAGAGAAGGCAGAAAUGCAACCGGCAGUCGCCACAAAGGCAAUGAAAAAUCGACGAGCCUCGACCAAUGAGAGAAAAAUGGCCCUUCAAAAAAGAUGUUGAUAAACUGAAGAAGAAGCUUAGACAAGAAGAGAACAUCCAUAGAGCUUUGGAGAGAGCUUUUAAUAGACCUUUGGGAGCUUUACCUCGUCUUCCUCCCUAUCUCUCUCCUUCGACAUUGGAGCUUUUAGCCGAAGUGGCGGUACUCGAAGAGGAGAUCGUCCGGCUCGAACAACAAGUUGUACACUUCAGACAAGACUUGUAUCAAGAAGCUGUCUAUACAUCAUCUUAAAAAAGAAACAUGGAGAAUCCAGCUGAUUCGACUGAGGCUUGCCUGGAUAAUCCUAAACAUCAGCAACCAAAAACUAUAACUCAAAAUACAUCGAUGGCGAGUCAUCUGCAAUCUUUCUCGGAUGAUAAAAUGGAAACACAGAAUCAGUCUUGUACUAAUUCCACAAAGAGCUCUGUAAAGGGCCCUUAGUACAUAAAAACAAUCUGUUGGAGCUCCUUUGAAGAGACCUUUGAUCGAUGCGAAGCCAGCAGAGAAACGCUUAGAUCCUCCAAGA